CUGCGCGCCCUGCAACAACGACCCUGACGAUCGAACAGCAGGGAGGGGGGAAAGAGUAGGGAGGGAGAAACUAAUCGAAGGAUUAGGUCAUCUUUAUUUCCCUAUUUAGUGAGGAAGCAUAUGCGUUUAGCCUGCGGAAAACAGGUGGGUUGUUCGAUCACGAUCGCGCUCUCAUGGACACCUCAUGUAUCAGGUCACGCGCGAUCUGCAGCUGCAGUGACGUCACCGAUCAAAGGUAGCUGGGGUUCAGGCUCUCCUUAAACUAGCGCGGAUUCUUUGAUUCAAGAAAAAGAGAGGAGCGUGUCCCCUGAGAGGUGACUCUUACAAUUAGUACUUGUCGGUACUUAAAACAAUAAUUACGGGGACAAUUACAGGUAUAUCUGCAUGGCUGCAGUUGGUGCAAGCUGUCAACGUUGUGCUGAGGUAGAUUUAAUUUCUCCAUGACAGGAGUGGCUGGCAACUCUUUGGUCCUGUGCUGGAAACUGAAAAUAAAUCAUACAGAAUAUUG